AUGCCAAAUUAUGAUCCUCAUGAUACUUACAUGCGAAUCCAGAUGUACAUGAUUGUUUCUGAACUGCCUACUGGUACCAACUGGAAUUUUGAUGUACACUGGUAUCCAAAGAUACCUGGGGUUAUAUCAGCAUCUUCAUUUGAUGGAAAAAUUGGAAUUUAUAACAUUGAGGUAUAUACCAAUUAUAUUUUUAUAGAUCUGUCUAAAAGUCGAUAUUGCGUUGGAGAGAAUAAGUUUGGUGCAGCUCCUCUGAGACCUCUAAAAUGGUAUAAACGUCCUGCUGGGGCAUCUUUUGGCUUUGGUGGCAAGCUUGUAGGGUUUCGCCCUAGGCCCUCUGCUGCAGGUGUUCGAGCUGGUGCUUCAGAGGUAUCUUUAUUGGUCAAUGUCUCUUUGUUCUCUUAUUUUAUGUUGUAUUUGUUUGUUAAUUUUUUUUCCCUCUUUGUCCCGGUUUAUGUCCACACCUUAGUUACUGAAGACAGUUUGGUCAGUCGAUUGUCUGAAUUUGAAGCUGCAAUUCAAAAUGGGGAAAGGUCUUUGUUGAGAGUACUUUGUGAGAAAAAGUCACAAGAGACUGAAUCUGAGGAUGACCGAGAAACAUGGAACUUCUUGAACGUUAUGUUUGAAGAUGAUGGGACAGCAAGGACAAAGCUGCUCUCCUACCUAGGUUUCAGUGUACCUACUAAAGAGAAAGAUAGUGUCGAAGAUCUUUCCCAGGAAGUAAAAGCACUUGAACUCAACGAUACCGUAAUUGAGAAGGUUGGAUAUGGGGAUGAUAAAGAAGUUAACGUUUUCCCUACGGAUAAUAGGGGAAAUUUCUUUAACAAGCUAUUGGAGAUACUGCCCCUGAUUCAGAACAAUUGCAACAAGAACCAGAUGGAUUUGAGGAGAGCACUGACCCAGCAUUUGAUGAUGCUGUCCAAAGUGCUUUAAUUGUUGGAGAUUACAAGGGGGCAGUUGCACAGUGCAUAUCUGCAAAUAAAAUGGCUGAUGCUUUAGUUAUUGCUAAUGUUGGUGGUGCAUCCUUGUGGGAGAGCACACGGGAUCAAUGCUUUAAGGUUUGCCGAUCACCUUACCUAAAGGUUGUUUCUGCAAUGGUGAACAAUGAUCUCUUGAGCCUUGUAAAUACAAGGCCCCUGAAAUUUUGGAAAGAAACACUUGCUCCUCUGUAGUGAUUUGAUGGAAAAGACUGUUGUCCUUGCCUUGGCAACUGGGCAGAAGCGAUUUAGUGCAUCUUUGUGUAAGCUUGUUGAAAAAUAUGCUGAAAUUUUAGCAAGUCAAGGGCUUUUAACAACAGCAAUGGAGUACCUUAAACUUUUGGGCUCUGAUGAAUUGUCACCUGAACUUGUGAUCUUAAGGGAUCGAAUUGCACUCGCUACAGAACCUG